rnacentral:rRNA from 1 species
UACACACCGCCCGUCACGCCAUGAAAGCUGUUUGUACCCGAAGUUAUCUUAGCUAACCCGUAAGGGAGGCGGAUGCCUAAGGUGUGAAUGGUGAUUGGGGCG